rnacentral:rRNA from 1 species
GGAGACUGAGUAAAGCAAAUGUAGGAAUAAGUAACGAUAAGGAGGGUUAGAUUCCCUCCCGCUGUAAGACCAAGGUUUCCCGGGCAAUGCCAAUCAGCCCGGGGUCAGUCGGGUCCUAAGUCUAAGCCGAACGGCGAUGGCGAUGGCAGAGACGGUUAAUAUUCCGUCACUGCCGCAUGGGGCGACGUGGAGACGGAGCAGUGAAACCACCGCGGGGCGACGGAAGUCCCCGUUGAAGAGUGUAGGUGUUGAGGAUGGCAGGCAAAUCCACCGUCCGAGCUGAACUUGAUAGUAUGGAGUCUUCUUCGGAAGAAUCCAAUAGUGUGGGUAAUCAUACUCCCGAGAAAAUCCGCUAAGCUUAACCCAUGCGGCACCCGUACCGCAAACGGACACACGUAGUCGGGUUGAAUAUACUAAGGCGCUUGAGUGAUUCACGGUUAAGGAACUAGGCAAACUGACCCUGUAACUUCGGGAUAAA